GAAGAAUCUAGCAGAAACAGCAAAAACAGGGAUGUGUUGAAGAUCUGGAUCAUGGUCAAGGCUAUUGCAAGAGAUAUGAUGAGCAUUGUGAGUCCAUUUCCACCAGGCAAUACUAAUCCCCGUCAAGCAAUUCCCAGACAAAAUUUGAGCCAAUUUGUUGAAUCCACGGCUGGACAUUACAUUAGAAUGUCCAGAAUCAUGACCCACAUAAGCACUUUGGAUCCAAAGCAUACCCAAAAUCAUAGCACAACCCAAAUGAACCAAAACACUCUCAGAUUUCAAAACCCCAUAAACCACAAUAAACAACAUCACAGCAACAGAAAUCAAAGAAUACAUAGUAACAUGCCCCUUCUUCUCA
rnacentral:misc_RNA from 1 species